UUAGCGUGCAAGUCAAUGAGCACCGUUCAGUAGGACAAAAGGGAGAACGGGAUGGAGUAAAGGAUAAACAAGGCAUGUACACGAGGCACCUGGGAAAACACUAUUUACAGUCUCAUGGGACGUCUCUGGGAUCAGAUAUACUGAGCUAACAGAAGACCCGAAUUGGCUCAUGAACUCAAGGACAACAACAUGCUACAAUGACGGCAGUGAGUUCUUUUGUUUGGAUUCCUGCAAACAGAGGAAAACAGGACACAAAACCAGACCAGCCAGCAGGUACCCAGUGAUGGCAGUCUACCCUCGCUAAGGAAGAAUAUAUCCGAGCACGAAGCACUGUGCAAGAGCAACAGAUGGACAGAGAAAAAUAAAAGGAGACUCAAUGGAAGGAAAGCUCUUUUGUCUUUGCUCGAGUUCAGCUUCAGUGAAGGCGGCGGGGCCCCAGUUUGUGAUUAAGUGAGGAUUCUUGGAGCCUGGAAGACAGAGUGCAAUACUUGAAACAGGUGUUUCUGACAGCGACAUCACUCACCCACCGUCAGUGGGACAGGCCGAGUGUCGCCACAGGACGAUUUGGCAAGUCCUCCCUUGGCAGCAGUGUAUUUCACACGCAUAUCUGGAUGAUGGCACCGCAACAGCACAGGAUGGAUAAAGGGGUGGAAAUCAGCUAAGGAGGUUGGCUUUGCUAAGAGAAGAGCAACUAUAACAAAAAGCAACGGUAGGAGAUAGAAGAAGGUGAGGGCAUGCUGCCUGUCCACAGUCACAGUCACCCAGAUCCUCACGAUCCCCCUUUCGCUGACCAGAGUGGGAAACCAGGGGUGCUGCGGCACCAGAGCCAUCCUCCCACUCAGCCCAUCACUCUGCUGGGGACAACAGCAGUCAGCUGGCUUUGAACUGAAGCGAGAUAAAGCACCAAAACCUCAGCAUUUAGCAAUACAUAACAUGUACUUCACAGAAGGUAAGCACAGCUCCCGAAGUCAGCAAGAAAGGCUUGCUGUCAAGUCUGGUAGGAUGGCAUGUCCUGCUCCACUGGUCUGCAGUCUGCUUUCCCUCAGCUAACCGAAAUCCCACUGACCCAGAAAAGUGAUCGUAUUCAGGAAUUCACACUAAGCCCAUAAAGCAGGACUGUGUGCAUUUAUGUUCCAAGAUGUUCCAUCACAUCAACUUGACUAUUUCUACUUUUUUCCUCCAGCUAACAGAAAAACCUGUUAUGCCUGACAAAGCCCUUGAAGACUGAAAAUUAGUUCUUUUGGAAAUUCUCAGUGUGGAUUAUAGUAACAGCAUUGUAAAGCUACAAUAUUUCUUUAAUUUUUUUAUGUUUGUGUAUAAAUGUAAAAGAACACACA